UACAGAGGGUGCGAGCGUUGUCCGGAAUCACUGGGCGUAAAGGGCGCGUAGGUGGCGACCCAAGUCGAUGGUGAAAGCUCGCCGCUCAACGGCGAGUCGGCCACUGAUACUGGGUUGCUGGAGCACUGUAGAGGCAGAUGGAAUUCCGGGUGUAGCGGUGGAAUGCGUAGAGAUCCGGAAGAACACCGGUGGCGAAGGCGGUCUGCUGGGC
rnacentral:rRNA from 1 species